CUUCAUUUGGUCACUGCAGAAAGCUAAAGUUUUUAUGCCAGAUGGUGUUCAAUCUGAUGUUAUCAUUCCAGGGGUUGUCAAAAUGCCUCCUUUCAUCAUGUUUUACUUAGAGUUAUACCUGGAGUUUUAUGUAUUUAGAAAUAUUCAGAAUGACCCUUAGUUACAGGAAAAAAAAAAACAGCUGCUCUAAGCUUAUAUGUAAAUAUGUUCCACAGAAAAGAUGAAAUUCCAGUGAAGAGAAGCUGAGGGUAAAAAUAUAAAAGGAAGGUUUGAGUAGGUAAGUGGUGUAUGUUCCCAUGAGAACAUGCAGCUGCUGCCAACAGAAACUAUGGGAAAAGACAACACACUCUCUCUAUGAUUCAGGCUAAAAUCAAAUUUGUAAAGAAGACAAAAUACACAUGAAUAAUCCCCUUUAAUACACCAUGAUCAUUACUAUCUCCAAGUCAAAAGCUGGCCUAGAGUCACAAUGAAAGCUAGACUAUUAUGACAACUGCAGAUGUUUGCACUAAAUAAUCUCCCCACUCAGGAAUUCCAAUGGCUUCUAACAUCCACCACACAACAUUUAAAUUUCUUAGCUAUUAAUGUCCUCAUAAUAUGGCAUCAUCAUUUCUAUCCCACCUAAUUUCUGACCCUUUCCCCAUUUUGGUCAAGGAGAUCUUCUCACUAUCCCCUGAACAUUCAUAUUCAUUCCCAACUUCAAAACAUUUCUCACACUUUGUAUCUCCUAGUGCAUUUCUCUUUUUCUUAAUCUAGCCAAAGCAAUAUAUUCUUAAAUUUCAAUCCUAGUACCAGCUGAUCUUUACAGUUCGUCACUG
rnacentral:lncRNA from 1 species